rnacentral:lncRNA from 1 species
GACUGGAGAUAAGGGAAAGGAAGAGUAGCAAUCUCAGGCUGUGGGCACUAGAAGAGUCCCCGCAAUCCCUGGGGUGGUGGCAGGAAGUCUUGAAGAAAGAAGCCAGCCGACUGCUGCCCAGCCACUGAGGGUGGGAAAAAAUUCAAGGUCCAAUGGCUAUGCAGAUGGAAGAAGGCCAAGUUCACAGAGUAGCCUAAUUCGUCAAUGGGAGGUGAGAUCUUUUCAGCUUCAUUGCUAGGUGGGCCCUUUGGUCCCAGAUUGAAAGUGCUCUGAUUCUACCUGGUAGCUCAACCAAACAAGGCCCCCAUAGUCUCCUCUUCUAAAGCUCUUUGAGCACAAAGCCCCCAGUCACUGGCAGUUUCCCACCCAGCCUCCUCCUCUUCUACCCUCUGGCUUUGAAGAACUCUGUGAUCUAUGCUCCUAGCAGGCACUUAGAUUUCUUUCUCCUACUUUCUCAUGCUGUCUGUUCAUUUACACACCUCUCACCAAGUCCUUCAAAUGUCCCAUUUUUCUAAAUAACCCUUGUGUUCCUGUCAUCAUUUCUAGGUCCCCUCUUCCCAGUGUCACACAUCUGGGGCUUUGAUGGCACUUGUCCAUUUCUGUUCCUCACAUCGACUUUGUUCAGCUCAUCCAUGCUCAGGACACACAUUUGCAUGUCUAAAGUCUGAUUAACAUUAUGAUUAUGCCUUCCCUAUUCAUCCUCCAGUUUUCUCAACAUCACAUACAUUGAGAAGAGGGAAAGGGUUUCUAUAGGAGCCAGGAUGCAGGUGUCAGAAUUGUGAGAGAGGCCUUAAAGGUGGCACUGUUGGAUUCCUGAGAGCCUAGGCGGAAGUAGCUAAGAGUGGGCUGAAGAGGCGCUGGAAUGUCCACUUAAGGAUUUGUGGGAGAUUCUAGUAUCUGAGAAACAAAAGCAAUAUUGUCAUCCCCUUCGGACAAGUCUACCCAGAUUCAAAUGGAGUGGGGCCUGUGUCCCGCCACAUCUUUUUAUCUAUUUGGAACACUGGGGACUUCUUUGGUGAUGGUGGGGGAGGAGAGAUGUUAGACGAGAAACAGAGAGCAUGAGAGAGCGUGAGAGAGCUGGAGAGGGCACUAAGGCGGGAGAGAGAUUGAUAAAAGGGAAGUCUUUUCGGCGUUUGGAUAAUGCAUUUGAAAAAGUAUAGAAGGUACAGGCUAGUCUGGUUCCAGCAAUUACUCUGAAUGAAAUGGAGAAUUUCUGCAAAAUAUGGCUCGGG